rnacentral:rRNA from 1 species
GGAAUAUUGGACAAUGGGCGCAAGCCUGAUCCAGCCAUGCCGCGUGAGUGAUGAAGGCCCUAGGGUUGUAAAGCUCUUUCGGCGGGGAAGAUAAUGACGGUAGCGGGAGAAGAAGCCCCGGCUAACUCCGUGCCAGCCGCCGCGGUAAUACGGAGGGGGCUAGCGUUGUUCGGAAUUACUGGGCGUAAAGCGCGCGUAGGCGGAUGUUCAAGUCGGGGGUGAAAUCCCGGGGCUCAACCCCGGAACUGCCUCCGAUACUGGACGUCUCGAGGACGGGAGAGGCGAGUGGAAUGCCGAGUGUAGAGGUGAAAUUCGUAGAUAUUCGGCGGAACACCCGUGGCGAAGGCGGCUCGCUGGUCCGUUUCUGACGCUGAGGCGCGAAAGCGUGGGGAGCAAAC